AGCGAACGCUGGCGGCAGGCCUAACACAUGCAAGUCGAACGAAGUCUUCGGACUUAGUGGCGGACGGGUGAGUAACACGUGGGAACGUGCCUUUAGGUUCGGAAUAACUAAGGGAAACUUGUGCUAAUACCGAAUGUGCCCUUCGGGGGAAAGAGUUAUCGCCUUUAGAGCGGCCCGCGUCUGCUUAGCUAGUUGGUGAGGUAAUGGCUCACCAAGGCUACGAUCAGUAGCUGGUCGAGGAGGAUGACCAGCCACAUUGGGACUGAGACACGGCCCAAACUCCUACGGGAGGCAGCAGUGGGGAAUCUUGCGCAAUGGGCGAAAGCCUGACGCAGCCAUGCCGCGUGGAUGAUGAAGGUCUUAGGAUUGUAAAAUCCUUUCACCGGUGAAGAUAAUGACUGUAGCCGGAGAAGAAGCCCCGGCUAACUUCGUGCCAGCCGCCGCAGUAAUAC
rnacentral:rRNA from 1 species